UACGGGAGGCAGCAGUGGGGAAUAUUGCACAAUGGGCGAAAGCCUGAUGCAGCUAUGCCGCGUGUAUGAAGAAGGCCUUAGGGUUGUAAAGUACUUUCAUCGGGGAGGAAAAACAAAACUAAUAAUUUUAUUUCUUGACGUUACCCGAAAAAGAAGCACCGGCUAACUCCGUGCCAGCAGCCGCGGUAAUACGGAGGGUGCUAGCGUUAAUCAGAAUUACUGGGCGUAAAGAGCACGUAGGUGGUUUUUUAAGUCAGAUGUGAAAUCCCUGGGCUUAACCUAGGAACUGCAUUUUGAAACUGAAAUACUAGAGUAUCGUAGAGGGAGGUAGAAUUCUAGGUGUAGCGGUGAAAUGCGUAGAUAUCUGGAGGAAUACCUGUGGCGAAAGCGGCCUCCUAAACGAAUACUGACACUGAGGUGCGAAAGCUGGGGAGCAAACAGGGAUUAGAUACC
rnacentral:rRNA from 1 species